UGCCAGGUGAAAGCCUAACUCUAACGUAUGAAGUAUGCAUUAGCAUCAGGGUACAACUUCAUUAAAUAAUAUAUACCUCCAGGAACAAUGCCCAUCCAGCACAUUGAUCCUUGACUCCAGCAGGACAGCUAGCAUCAGCUUAUCGCCUGAAACAUGCUGCUGGAGAUGGUCCCAGUCCCAUGUCUCCGGAGGCCACAGCUGCAACAAAUGCACAGGCGACCUAGCAGGAGACCCUCACUGGGGUGAAAUGUCACCACUUCAUUUCCCUUGGUGGCACUGCAGCAGUUUGCACCAGCUAAUGAGCACCAUCAUGAGUAGUUCCUUUGAAAUCAAUGGGAUUAUUCAUCAGCAGAGAUUUUUCCAGGCACCUAAAAAUUAUGGGCAUCUAAUAUUUAUUCAAAUGAGGAAAAGGCAUUUUGGGAUGUUUCUGGUUUCCAGUGGAGAAUAG
ensembl:lncRNA